GGGGUGGAGGGCUCACGCAGGUAGACACGCUGAAUGCGCGCCAGUGGGACAUCCACGCCUUGACAGCUGCAUGGAGCUUUUCAGCGUCGUAAUUUCAGAUAAUAUCCCGAGCGCUCACUCUUCUCGGCAAUUUGUAUAUGAAUAACCGAAUAAUUUUCCCCCCUUUUGUUCCAUCUGUGCUACCUCAAAUCCAAAUAAAGAUGCCUUUUAGUAUUAAAAGUGGUAGAAAAUUACAGGUAAUUAUCUUUGACGGUAAAAACGCUGUAAUCAGCGGGCUACAUCAAAAAUUACCCUAAUUAUGCCUGCAUUUAUGAGAAUGGAGGAGAGAGAAAAAAAGGCUCACUUGGAUAAAAACCCACAAAUUGUCCCAAAUAUCUCCUUCAUAUUGAACGCCGCUGCAGCUGGCUGCUUUGUUCACCAUCGAUCCCGCGGAGCUUGGCAUUUAACGGCCUGCAUUAGGACGGAGAGAAGGGAGAAAACAUUUUGUCAAUACUUCUAAUAAUUGAGGGUGAAAUGACAAGAUGAGCUGGACCUGGAGCAAAAUGUCUGCGAGGUGAAUUGUGCAGCAGCGGCGCACGCUCCAUCUCCUCCUGCUCCCCUCCAUCCAUCCCUCCGUCUCUCCCUUUCUCUCUCUCCCUGCUUGGUUUCCACAGCUGUGGCGAGUGAGGGGCAGAUGACCGGAGAAUUGGCCCCUGGGAGAGCAGUGAGCCAUCCUGCUGCUAUUAGGCUCGUGGCUAAUAAUAGGUGUUUCAGACCGGGGGAAGAUCAAUCAGGGGGAAUCAUGGGGAAUGUUCGGAGCAGCGCUUUUUACACAUCGGCCCAGAUGGAUGAAAUUACACUUGUCAGUUUUUAGUUGCAUUACUCUCAAAUUGGUUGUCUACUCUUUCUCCCUCUCCCUCUCUCUCUCUCUCUCUUUGCCCUCAUUCAUGUGUCAGUGGCCUGCUAAAAGGAUUGGCCGGUGAAAUCCCUGUCAUUUUUGUCUUUUCCCCCCGUUUAGCCCCCAGGCUUCACGCGUCGGAACGAAAACACAUUGCACGUCUGCAUAUGCACUUUGCUUUAAGGCCUUAUUGUCUCCAGGCCCUGUGCAGUUUUUGUGACGAAUGCAAAUGCAAAAGUGCUAAUGACAUCCUGCAAAGUGCAUGCUCUGAAUGUGUGUGAUGGUAACAUAAUAUGAAUAACUCACCUUCAAACUGUGCAGAAUGAAGUUUUUUUAAAAGAAAAAAAAAAA